rnacentral:rRNA from 1 species
GACGAACGCUGGCGGCGUGCCUAAUACAUGCAAGUCGAACGAGUUGCGGACGGGUGAGUAACACGUGGGAACCUACCCAUCAGAGGGGGAUAACUACUGGAAACGGUUGCUAAUACCGCAUCCUAUCGGAUGAACCCAUAUGGGCUUAGCGAGUAGGUGGGGUAAAGGCUCACCUAGGAGACGAUCUCUAGCUGGUCUGAGAGUAUGAUUAGCUGUACUGGGAUGUAGAUACGGCCCAGACUCAGAAGGGAGGAAGCAGUGGGGAAUAUUGCACAAGGGGCGCAAGCCGGAUGCAGCCAUGCCGCGUGUAUGAAGAAGGCCUUAGAGUUGUAAAGUACUUUAAGCGGGGAGGAGUUACCCGCAGAAGAAGCACCGGCUAACUCCGUGCCAGCAGCGGCGGUAAUAC